rnacentral:lncRNA from 1 species
GUUUCGGGAGGGAAACAUUUUUUUUUUAAUUGACAAAUAAAGAAAACGUCCGGGCCUCUGUGAAACAGACAUCUUUUUUUUUUUAAUUAUUAUUUUAAAAAGACUUUUUUUUUUUUUUUUUUUUUUGCUGCUUCCUUCUCGAAAUUGUGAAGAUAAUCCGACAAUGGUCUGACAAUCGACUGCUACUCGACAAUUGAUUUUUUUUUUCUCCUCUUCUAUGUGACAACGACUCAUCAGCAAGCCUACCUCUAGAAUAAUAUAAAUAAUCAUAAUAACCAUAAUUAAACGUAUAUAUACAUAAACGACUGUCGCCGAGGAGGCUUCUUCCGUCGGAAAGGGGGAAAAAAUAACAGCCGGGCUGGAGGUAAACUUCAACCUCGGCCAUUUCCCGAGGAUUUCGCCGGAGGCGGUGUUAGCAUGUGAGGUGUGUGUGUGCCGCUCAGGCCUGGGCUUGUACUCCAGAUGUUUUUCAAGGGACGAGGAUCAACGGUCAAAUUGUGCCACACGUUACAGACCCCCCCACCCCCUGUCAGGUUGCACAGAUGACAUCACUUCUACAAUCCUGAUUUGUGGCAUAAUUUAAUUUCAUUCGAUUUCGGAAUACGUGAGUUAGCAGAUGGCUGGGAGAAAAAGACGGAGCAACUUUGGAUGCACUUUCUUUACAAUGAAGUGGAAAAGAAACAGCAUGUUUGGUUGGAAAACAUGAAAGAAAUCAGAGCCGUGUCUGGAUAAGAUGUAGAGUAUUCUUGAGUAAUAAGAAUAUAAUAAUAAGAUAACCUUGUAUUCUUAAAUGGGACUGGCUGAAAGUAAAUGUACUAUAUUGACUGGAUUAAGCAGAAUUAUAUAUAUAAAAAAAAGAGACUAAAAUACAAUUUUCAUUUAAAAAAAACUGUCAUCAGUUUUCGUUGACUGAAACUAGAUUAAAAUAGUUAUGGAUAAUUCUGACAAGAAAUAAGACUAAAAUGGUCAGACUUAUAAAACUAAUAAAUGUAUAUUACUUUUAACA